AGUUUACAUUACCACUAGCAGUAUAAAAGUGUUCCCUUUUCACCAAAUGCCCCCCAAUAUUUUUUAUUUUUUGCUGUUUUGAUUAUGGUCAUUCUUGCCAGAGUAAGCUGGCAUAGCAUUGUGAGUUUUUGGUUUUUUUUUUUUGAGAUGGAGUCCGCUCUGUCACCAGGCUGGAGUGCAGUGGUGUAACCUUGGCUCACUGCAACUUCCACCUUCUGGGUUCAAGGGAUUCUCCUGCCUCAGCCUCCCGAGUAGCUGGGACUACAGGUGCCCACCACCACUCCCGGCUAAUUUUUGUAUUUUUAGGACAGAUGGAGUUUCACCAUGUUGGCCAGGGUGGUCUUGAUCUCUUGACCUAGUGAUCUACCCGCCUCAGCCUCCCAAAGUGCUGGGAUUUCAGGUGUGAGCCACCGCUCCCAGCCUGACAUUGUGGUUUUGAUUUGCAUUUCCCUGAUCUUUAGUGAUGAUGAGCAUUUUUUCAUGUUUGUUGGCCAUUUUUUAUAUCUCCUUUUGAGAAUUGUCUAUUCAAGUCCUUAGCCCAUUAUUUGAAGGGAUUGGUUUUUUUCCUGUUAAUUUGAGUACCUUGUAGAUUCUGGUUAUUAGUCCUUUCUCAGACGUAUAGAUUGUGAAGAUUUUCUCCCAUUCCAUGGGUUGUCUGUUUACUCUGCUUAUUGUUUCUUUUGCUGUGCCAAAACGUUUUGGCUUGAUUAAGUCUCACCUUUUAAUCUUCAUUUUGUUGUUGUUGCACUUGCUUUUGGGUUCUUGGUCAUGAAGUCUCUGCCUAAGCCAAUGUGUAGAAGGGGUUUUCCAAUGUUACCUUCUAGAAUUUUUAUGGUUGCAGGUCUCAGAUUUAAGUUGACUUUUGUAUAAGGUAAGAGAUGGGAAUUCAGUUUCAUUUCUUGGGAUAUAGCUUGCCAAUUAUCCAAGCACCAUAUGUUGAGUAGGGUGUUCUUUCCCCACUUUAUAUUGUUUGCUUUGUCAAAGACCAGUUGGCUGUAAGUAUUUGAGUUUACUUCUGGGUUCUCUAUUAUGUUUCAUUGGUCUAUGUGCUUAUUUUUAUACCAGUAUUAUGCUGUUUUGCUGACUAUGGGUUUGUAGUAUAGAUUGAAGUCAGGUAAUGUAAUGCCUCCAGAUUUGUUCUUUCUGCUUAGUCUUGCUUUGGCUAUGUGGGCUCGUUUUUUUUUUCCCAUAUGAAUUUUAGAAUUAUCAGGAGCCACCAGGUGCUGCAGCAGCUUUGGGAUAACUUGAGGGCGCAUCCUGGGGAAGAAACACCUCCUGUCCAUGGUGCUAACUGCUGAGGACAGUGCUUCGGCGUGGCUUCUCCGUGGCCCAGCUUCUUUGGGGCGUUUUUCUUUCAUGGUUCAUCCAUAUGGCUCCAAAUGAAAAUUACAUUAAUUAUGGAUGAAGAGUAUUGUGUUGUGCAGAUAUACUGCAGUUUCUUCAUCCCUUCAUCUAUGGAUGGACAGGUUCCACAGUGUUGCCACGGAUGACCUGAUUUCAGUACCCAUGUCUGGCUGAAGAGUAUCUGGUUGUGACUGGAUACUGCAGUUUCUGGAUCUCAUCCUCUGUGGGUGGACAGGUUUCUCCAUCUUGCUGGUAGUGAACUGAUGUCCGGAAGUUUGAUGGCCGAAGAGUAUACCGUUGUGCAUAUAUCCUUCAAUUCCUGAUUUUAUCAUCUGUAGAAAGACAAAAAUCUUCAGACUGAUUUCCACAGUUUGAGAUCUAGUUUGCAUUACCUCCAAGAGAAUAGCCAUGUUUGCUUUUCUCUGCUGCCACACCAGCAUGUUAUGUUUUGACUUAGGACAAAUGGCCACUCUGACCAGCGUGUGAUGGCACCGGUACCUCAUCUCUGAUGAUUGGUGAUGUUGAGCAUUCCCCACGCCUGUUGGAAUGGCAAUCCCUUGGAAAUGUCUUCUCAAUAGUUACUACCCAUAGGUAUGUUGCUCAGGCCACUGUGUGGCCCCAGCACUUGGUUUGCAUAGGGACUUGGGGAUUGUUUGUCAUCAUUAGCCGGGACAAAUGUUACACUGCUGUUCCUACAGUGAGUAGUGGGAGUGGCGUAUGGGGGCAUAUGCUUAUGUCCACAGUUCCAUCAGAAAUCCCACUGCCUUAAGACAGUCUUACGGAAACCGAGUCCCAGCCUUGCAGCACCGGGUAGCCCUGUGGCAUUUUGACAUUGAGUGUGUCUGCAUUGUUGAAGUCACUCAGCAUGUUGCCAUGCGUUUAUCCACUUAGGUCAACGUUAAGGGAAGUUCAUCGCCUCUGCUUCUUCAGUAACUGAUGUCUGGUGCAUCAACUGAAUGCAUUUCAGGCUUUUCAGCAGUUCCCCCAGAUCUAUGGGUAAAAAAAGGUUUUCACCAUGCCCACCUCCCCAGUGAGUGACCAAUGUCUCAUUGUUAAUGCAUCUGAUGCACAGAGUUUAGUGGUCUGAGGGAGGUCAGUCGCCAAGCGGAGAUUGAAAUCACAUUUGUAUUUACAUUAUUACUUUUCUACAGUUUGGUUUGUUGCAGGCUUUCACACUACUAAUCUGGGCUGAAUCCUUGAAUUACUUUGUCUACCAAGGGUUUCAAAGAACUUGAUAAACUUGUUCUAAUUAGCCAACAUAUUCAUCCAUGUUGUCCGUAUACCAGGUGUAAAAAUAAAACGUUUCUUAAUGCACACAGGACAUGGAAGGCAAUCUACACAUUUUCAGGUGUAGACUUUGCUUGUGACUCUUUUGUGAGGAAUAGUCAUUGUUACUUUAGGAAAACCCUGAGUUUAUCCAACUCUUGUUAGAAUUGGAUAAGUGUAAAAACCUACAAUAGAAUGCAAGUGUGAGAGCCAAUUCCUCUGGUAAAAUAAACUCAUAUUAUUAUUUAUAUAUGUCUGGUCAUUGUAUUAAUAAAAUCAGUUUGUUUUGGCUGAAACACAUGGUUGGCCUUUACAAUAGAUGUGAAAAUGGGCUUAUAGAUCAUUGCUCUUUAUUGUGAAUAUUAGGUUGUAUUUAUUGCCAAACUCUUUCAACAGCUUCUAAGCAGUGAAUUUUCAGUGCAUUGUUGUUGUUCUCCAAGUACAAGCAGCCACUUCAGUUUUACCACAUUCAUCUUCCACACACUGAUGAACCAUAUGGAGGCAGCAGGAAUUGAAGUAGAACCAGAGGGAGUAGUUAGGACAGACAUUCUGAUUCAUUCAUUCUGAUUCUCACUAUUGUCAGUCAGUAAAGGUUCAUUGAAUUUUUCUUCUGAUGAAUAAAAUGGUCAGUUUUCUCAGUGCAAUGGCUUACUUUUGGAAGAGCAGCUCUAAAGACUUUACUACUGAUUAGUAAAGUCUAAACUGCUUUCUGUAUUUUUUUUUAAAUUCAACUUUUAUUUUAGACUGAAUAAAAAUGUGCAGGUUUAUUGUGUGAUACUGAGUUUUGGGGUACGAUUGAAGCCAUCACUAAGGUAAUGAGCAUCUCACCUUCUCCUUCUGUUCACUCUGUUACAGAGAACAGACCCUCCCAGUCUUCAGUGCACUCUAAAUACUGGCUAAUUCUGGCCAAUGGAAGGCAUCUGUGGAAGAAAAAAGCCUCAGAUCAUGUGCUGUCUGUCUUUAUUCAGUGUGACAUAUUAGGUAAUGGUCACAGACACUCACCAUGGCCCCAGUUUUUAAUAACAUGACCCUGCUUUUGUGUUCCAGUAACUUCUGUUGUUUUCCCAAUCCUAAGUAUGAUAGAAACUUCCUGCUGCUGCUAAUCUCUGGGUUCCAUUUAAAAUCCUUCCAUCACAUGAAUACUAUGCUGUGUUCUAAAUUUUUCCAUAAUUAAAUACUUACAAUUAUUUUUGCCUACUUCUUUUGCCCCUUAGUGAUAUGUUUUAAAAACACUUAUAAUGUGUCACAAUAUAUUUAGCAAAUGUAGGGAAUGACAUUUUUACUUUCGUCAGCAUUUACACUAGCAUUUAUGGAGCGAUGCUAUAUAAAGUAUUUUUAGUAAUUUAAACGUUAUAUAACAGAUAUCCGUUGAUUCCUUUGUUUCUACGUAAAUAAGUAUACUUGAGAUAUUCAGUAAACAGUAUUGAAUACAUGUUUCAUUUGUAUAAUAUAAAAUUAUGAUUAUUCUUUUUAAACAGUACAUCAUAUUUGCUUGUUGGCUUUAUGAUAACUUAGAAAUAAUAUUCUGGAUUAACUGUGUGACUCAUGAGAAGAUUUGUGCAACUAUGUUUCCAAAUUUACUUGAUUUUCAAGACUUACACUAGAACUGUGAGAACAGGGUAAUAAAUAAGCAUAUGUAUUAAUAUCACCUUUGGUCAACUCUUGGGUAGCCCCAACGGUAGUGUAGGAAUUAACGUAAUUUUUCCUACUAAAAGUAUUGGAUUUGUUUUGAGAGACCACAGUUGAAAAUCAUUGACAUACAAAGUUUAAAAAUUGUUAGGUUAAAAAAUUUUAAAUGCAUUUGAAGUGGUUUUAUAGAAAAAUAAUUAUCUAACUUGGUUUAUAUUGACAGGUUGUUUUCUUGGAUAAGAACUAGACGAAGAGAAAGGGAGAUUAGUGAUAAAUGUCCAGGUUUUCAAGUUGAAAAGUAACAAUCAGUGUAUUACAACAGAUGGAUGUGAUGUCAAAUUACAAAUGCUGAAAACGUUAUAUGUAAUCAUGUAGCCAGAGUAAUCAUACAAGGCAAAGAACGGAAAGGCAUCCAAAUAGGAAAGAGGCUGGAAUGCAGUGGCACCAUCUCAGCUCACUGCAACCUCCGCCUCUGGGUUCAAGUGCUGCUCCUGCCUCAGUCUC
rnacentral:lncRNA from 10 species